CUAUACAUGCAGUCGAGCGCGGGAAGCUAACUGAUCCCUUCGGGGUGACGUUAGUGGAACGAGCGGCGGACGGGUGAGUAACACGUGGGCAACCUGCCUGUAAGACUGGGAUAACUUCGGGAAACCGGAGCUAAUACCGGAUAAUACUUAUACUCUCAUGAGUUUAAGUUGAAAGGUGGCUUUUAGCUAUCACUUACAGAUGGGCCCGCGGCGCAUUAGCUAGUUGGUGAGGUAACGGCUCACCAAGGCAACGAUGCGUAGCCGACCUGAGAGGGUGAUCGGCCACACUGGGACUGAGACGCGGCCCAGACUCCUACGGGAGGCAGCAGUAGGGAAUCUUCCGCAAUGGACGAAAGUCUGACGGAGCAACGCCGCGUGAACGAUGAAGGCCUUCGGGUCGUAAAGUUCUGUUGUUAGGGAAGAACAAGUGCCGUUCAAAUAGGUCGGCACCUUGACGGUACCUAACGAGGAAGCCCCGGCUAACUACGUGCCAGCAGCCGCGGUAAUACGUAUGGGGCAAGCGUUGUCCGGAAUUAUUGGGCGUAAAGCGCGCGCAGGCGGUUCCUUAAGUCUGAUGUGAAAGCCCACGGCUCAUCCGUGGAGGGUCAUUGGAAACUGGGGAACUUGAGUGCAUAAGAGGAGAGUGGAAUUCCACGUGUAGCGGUGAAAUGCGUACAUAUGUGGACGAACACCAGUGGCGAAAGCGACUCUCUGGUCUGUAACUGACGCUGAUGCGCGAAAGCGUGCGGAGCGAACAGGAUUAAAUACCCUGGUACUCCACGCCGUAAACGAUGAGUGCUACGUGUUAGGAGGUUUCCACNNCUUAGUGCUGCAGUUAACCCAUUACUCACUCCUCCUGGNGAGUACUGCCGCAAUGCUGAAACUCAAAACAAUUGACAGGGGGCCCCCACAAGCGAUUGAACAUGUGCUUUAAUUCCAAGCAACCCAAGAACCUUACCCGG
rnacentral:rRNA from 1 species